UUGUGAAUGUUUCAUAACUUUACAACAGUCAUGCCUCUCUGUCAGUUUGAAGAUAAGCAUUAUCUCCCCAAAUUAUCUACUUUUCAGGAACUAAGACAGCCUUGCCGAACAACAUGUUUGACUUUUUUCAGUUAUGGUUUGAGAAGGUUCCUUAAUUCCUGCACAUUUUAAAGAUGGCAAUACCUUUAGUUUAAACUAUAAAUGAGUGAUAACAGGAGAUGAGACCCCGUACACGCGGCAAAUUAAAGACAUUCAACAUAUUCAUAUUCCCACCUGCGAUGUCCCACAACUGAAGCCGGACAGUCUCAGAGUCCCAGUUCAACACCUUCAGGGCGAAGUCCACUCCGAUGGUUGCCCGGUAGUUGUUGGAGUAAGUCUGGUGGACGUAGCGCCUGAUGAUGGAAGUCUUCCCGACCCCCAGGUCGCCGAUAACCAGCACCUUGUACAGGUGCUCCUUCCGGAGGCUCUGCAUACCGUUGGACUGUGCUGAGUGAUUGGUCAUUCCACCUGUCGGGUUCUCAGACGCUCCAACUUCCUCUAACUUUACCUCUGUGUGAGUGUGGUUUCAGGCGUCGUCGUCCCCUUGUCCUAGAGCGUCUCCCUCUCCGCACGCAUCUAGGAACCGCCCUCCCUGUGGAGCCGUGUGUGAUCUGCUGAGGAGCUGUGCUCGGGAACUUGUGACCUCGCCUUGCCACCCGCCACCCGCCACCCAUGAGCAGUGCGCACGGUUUAUUGGAGGCACCACACCGAAGGUGCAGGUGCGGUUGUACAUGGUGCUCUCCUGCGGAUGUCCCCUCAACCGGCACUGGAAUCGGUGCUGCCAGAACUCGGGGAACCAGGGGUUCCUCAGGUUGGCAUCAGGCCUCAAGUUCAGCCCUGCGAUUGAAUGGCGACCAGUCCAGGGUGUACCCCGCCUCUCGCCC